rnacentral:rRNA from 1 species
AACGGCCAUACCAUGCUGCAUAUACCGGUUCUCGUUAGAUCACCGAAGUCAAGCAUCAUUGGGCGCGGUCAGUACUUGGGUGGGUGUCCACCUGGGAACACCGCGUGCCGUU